UACGUAGGGUGCAAGCGUUGUCCGGAAUUAUUGGGCGUAAAGAGCUCGUAGGCGGUUUGUCGCGUCGAAUGUGAAAACCCGGGGCUCAACCCCGGGCCUGCAUUCGAUACGGGCAGACUAGAGUUCGGUAGGGGAGUCUGGAAUUCCUGGUGUAGCGGUGAAAUGCGCAGAUAUCAGGAGGAACACCGGUGGCGAAGGCGGGUCUCUGGGCAACUACUGACGCUGAGGAGCGAAAGCGUGGGGAGCGAACAGG
rnacentral:rRNA from 1 species